UACGUAGGGUGCAAGCGUUGUCCGGAAUUAUUGGGCGUAAAGAGCUCGUAGGUGGUCUGUCGCGUCUGCUGUGAAAACUCGGGGCUUAACCCCGGGCCUGCAGUGGGUACGGGCAGACUAGAGUGCGGUAGGGGAGACUGGAAUUCCUGGUGUAGCGGUGAAAUGCGCAGAUAUCAGGAGGAACACCAAUUGCGAAGGCAGCUCGCUGGGACGUAACUGACGCUGAGACGCGAAAGCGUGGGGAGCAAACAGG
rnacentral:rRNA from 1 species